GUAGAGAGAAGCUUGCUUCUCUUGAGAGCGGCGGACGGGUGAGUAAUGCCUAGGAAUCUGCCUGGUAGUGGGGGAUAACGUUCGGAAACGGACGCUAAUACCGCAUACGUCCUACGGGAGAAAGCAGGGGACCUUCGGGCCUUGCGCUAUCAGAUGAGCCUAGGUCGGAUUAGCUAGUUGGUGGGGUAAUGGCUCACCAAGGCGACGAUCCGUAACUGGUCUGAGAGGAUGAUCAGUCACACUGGAACUGAGACACGGUCCAGACUCCUACGGGAGGCAGCAGUGGGGAAUAUUGGACAAUGGGCGAAAGCCUGAUCCAGCCAUGCCGCGUGUGUGAAGAAGGUCUUCGGAUUGUAAAGCACUUUAAGUUGGGAGGAAGGGUUGUAGAUUAAUACUCUGCAAUUUUGACGUUACCGACAGAAUAAGCACCGGCUAACUCUGUGCCAGCAGCCGCGGUAAUACAGAGGGUGCAAGCGUUAAUCGGAAUUACUGGGCGUAAAGCGCGCGUAGGUGGUUAGUUAAGUUGGAUGUGAAAUCCCCGGGCUCAACCUGGGAACUGCAUUCAAAACUGACUGACUAGAGUAUGGUAGAGGGUGGUGGAAUUUCCUGUGUAGCGGUGAAAUGCGUAGAUAUAGGAAGGAACACCAGUGGCGAAGGCGACCACCUGGACUGAUACUGACACUGAGGUGCGAAAGCGUGGGGAGCAAACAGGAUUAGAUACCCUGGUAGUCCACGCCGUAAACGAUGUCAACUAGCCGUUGGGAGCCUUGAGCUCUUAGUGGCGCCAUGAACGCAUUAAGUUGACCGCCUGGGGAGUACGGCCGCA
rnacentral:rRNA from 1 species